AUACGUAGGUGGCAAGCGUUGUCCGGAUUUAUUGGGCGUAAAGCGAGCGCAGGCGGUCUCUUAAGUCUGAUGUGAAAGCCCCCGGCUCAACCGGGGAGGGUCAUUGGAAACUGGGAGACUUGAGUGCAGAAGAGGAGAGUGGAAUUCCAUGUGUAGCGGUGAAAUGCGUAGAUAUAUGGAGGAACACCAGUGGCGAAGGCGGCGCUCUGUUCUGUAACUGACGCUGAGGCUCGAAAGCGUGGGGAGCAAACAGGAUUAGAUCCCCUGGUAGUCCACGCCGUAAACGAUGAGUGCUAAGUGUUGGAGGGUUUCCGCCCUUCAGUGCUGCAGCUAACGCAUUAAGCACUCCGCCUGGGGAGUACGGCCGCAAGGCUGAAACUCAAAGGAAUUGACGGGG
rnacentral:rRNA from 1 species